AGGAGCUUGAAGGAGAGGAAAGCAAAGAGAGCUUGGGCCACGGGAAAUAAAUUGGUCACGUAGAGAUGAGAUUAUGUAAAGACUAGCCGGGUAGAGAAGCUUCUGUUUUGAGAUGGUGCUUAACAGGGACCAGGGAUGAGAGGCAUGGUGGCAACCACAAGGUGGCCAAGACAAUUUGUCUCCAGUUGGAUGGGAUGUCUGUCUGGACAUAGUCUGUGCUUGCAUUGGUUGCAAUUCUGAUGGAUGGACAUAGAUACCUUGGCCUUGGACAAUUUGGGCUGACUGUGGAGCAUCUGUGGGUCCUGUGGCUGGCAGUGGAGGCGGUAAGGAGAUGACUAGCAGUGAGCUGCCCUGAGGCCCCCUUGUCUACCGCCUCUCGUCUCAAAGUCCUCAUC
rnacentral:lncRNA from 10 species